CCCUCAGCGGGCGCGGGCGACAACGCGGCGCUCCAGCCAGUCUGAAGGAUCUCUGGCGAGCUGCGGAGGCGCGCGCGGCCUGAGCCGCGGAUCGCGAGGAUGAACCUGCUACGCUUGGGGAGCAUCUUACGUCUGUGACCCAGGGACUAGGAGGACAAUCUUCAGGAACCAGGAGGACCAGAAAGUCCAUUUGCGCUAAGGUGAAACGCUUCAGGCUUUUCACGAGGGCGGGUCCUCAGGACCCAGGAAAAGUUUCCCAGUAACGAUGUGGGCUCCAAUAGGCACUCCUGAUCCGGAGCCAAGUUCAAGUGAAGACCCAGCCUCGACAUUACAAGAAGUGCACUUGUCGGUCCUGAUUCUAACCUACAGACAACGAAAUGAUUCUUUAGUGCUCUUGAGUAAAACGAACACUAGACAUUUCGCCACCUUUUUCAUUUUUCAUUUUUUUUCAGUGGGUUUUGAUGUUUUCAUCAAACUAAGUCUCCUGUAGCACAAGUUGACCUCGAUCUCGAGGCUGGCCGUGAGCCUACCAUUCUAGUCCAGGUUGCCCUGGAAGCCAUCGAUUUAGACCAGUCUGGUUCUGAACUCAAAGGAAUGCACCUGCCUUAGCUUUUGAAAUGGGAUGACCAACAGGCAUGCGUGCUACCCACCAGCUAGUCUUGAACUUUUUUUUUUUUUUAAGAUUCUUUUAGAGUCCCUAAGGCUAGUAUUAAAGCAUAAGGACCACACCCAGUUGGCUUUGUACAUUCACUCUGUCUAGAUUUCUUUUUUUAGAUCCGCCUGCCUCUGCCUCCCAA
rnacentral:lncRNA from 1 species